AUUGAACGCUGGCGGCAUGCCUUACACAUGCAAGUCGAACGGCAGCACGGGAGCAAUCCUGGUGGCGAGUGGCGAACGGGUGAGUAAUAUAUCGGAACGUGCCCAGUCGUGGGGAUAACGUAGCGAAAGCUACGCUAAUACCGCAUACGAUCUACGGAUGAAAGCGGGGGAUCGCAAGACCUCGCGCGAUUGGAGCGGCCGAUAUCAGAUUAGGUAGUUGGUGGGGUAAAGGCUCACCAAGCCGACGAUCUGUAGCUGGUCUGAGAGGACGACCAGCCACACUGGGACUGAGACACGGCCCAGACUCCUACGGGAGGCAGCAGUGGGGAAUUUUGGACAAUGGGCGCAAGCCUGAUCCAGCAAUGCCGCGUGCAGGAUGAAGGCCUUCGGGUUGUAAACUGCUUUUGUACGGAACGAAACGGCGAGCUCUAAUACAGUUUGCUAAUGACGGUACCGUAAGAAUAAGCACCGGCUAACUACGUGCCAGCCGCCGCAGUAA
rnacentral:rRNA from 1 species